UCCUCCAGACAGCACCGAUAUAGAACGGGCAAAAAUCCACUGCAGUGCCUUUGUGAGGCUAGGCCGUCAUAUUCUGGAGAAAAGGAGGCUGAGGGCAGACCUUAUCGCUCUCUACAACUCCCUGAAAGGAGGUUGUAGCGAGGGAGCGAUGCAGAAGCGACACCAUUCAAGAAACAGAACACGCUGUAAUCAGAUAACAUUAAUAUCUAUCUGGAAGGCAAAUACAAACCUUUUUAUGUUUACACCAUGGUGAAGUUUCUUUCCUGUUAGUCACCAUCUACUGUUAACUUCCAGGAGGGUGGCAAGGCAAACAAUUUUCCUUGAACUCCAUCCAGCCCUGCCAGGGAGCCUGCUGUCUGGCUCACUGCUCUUCUCCCAAAGGCCUUCUCUCGACAGUUGGUUUUGGAAUCACAGCAGAAACAAUUGUGCCUUCUGUCCGUGAUGUUACAGAGCAGAAUGAAUUGAUGCACACACUGAAACGAGAUGUCAUAUUUUAAGAACAAAUGAAGGGCAUGGCAGAAAGCUCCUUUUUUUUUUUUUUAAUGGCAGUCAUUUGCCCAGCUUUGUGGAAUCGGACUACAGCGGAAUUUAUUUUUUGUUAUAGGUCAAAUCAUCUGAUAUGAGCGGCUGCCAGUAAAAACUGGGAUUUCCUGCCACCUAACUUCCCUCUGCUCUAUUUACUUUUGCUUGCUUCGGGUGCACCUUCUGAAUUUAUCACUUAUUCCCCAGCAGAAGACAGUGAUCCAGUGGCACGCUGGGCCUCAAGGGCACCUUACCUGCUACUUUAGAGCAGCAAGCAUCCCAGCAGUCGGGAUGGGGCAGGAGGAAGAUGAGGACCAUGACACGUACAUCUAAAACAGCGAAGCAAAGCCUUUCCCAGUCAUCAGAGCCAACAGGACAUUUUCAGCACCCGCUGAUUUCGCAAGAGGAAACUCCACCUCGAGGUAGCGCUGAGGGCACAGCAUCAGGAAUUUGUCCUUAAGAGGCCAGGAGUUGAAUGUUAUAACCACCAGGCAGACUGAUGAAUGCAAGAGAGCAGUACCUAUUGUAGUCAAAAGCCUGGAGCAGCUAUGCUGGCAAAAAGAUUAAUUACUUCUGGGUGUGAGCUGGAACCGCACACCCAGCAGUCCUGAGGUUUUGGAUACUCCCUUGCAAAGUGGGAAACAAUGCUCUCUCCCUGACUGCACUGAGGCAGGGAUUCCGUUUCCUUUCUCCUAGUAUUUUACCUUUGUUCUACCCACACUGGAAUGGUCAUUAGUGUCAGUCACAGCUGAAUACAAACACCACAUAUGUGAUGCAAGAAUCAAAUGCAUUCUCUCUGGUUCUGAUGAAGUCCCUGCACAGCAAAAGCUUUACCUGUCUGUUAGACUGAACAUCAUCGGCCUGUCCAAGGAGGUCCGAGGUCAGUCCCUGGGACAGGGAUGAUGUUCCAGACUCCGUUAACCACGAGACACUGCCUUGUGCCUGCAAGCCCCCAGCUGAAAUGAGAGCUGAUGCCAGCACAGCUAGACCACCUUUUGGCCCUGGUGUUUUGUCCAAAGGUGCUAAAUCUGGUCUGGUUACUACACCCUUGCUAUCAUCAUCAUUAUCAGCAAGAAAUAAAUAUUUUUAAACACUGAAUAAAUAUUGAGCUGGCAGCACCA